ACAGUGCAUCAAGAACGCAAUGCGUACCAACCGACACACUCGAUGCACGGUGGUUUAGAAUGCGGAGAACAACUCUCAAAUUAAUCGAGUAAUC
rnacentral:ncRNA from 1 species